rnacentral:rRNA from 1 species
CCCUUAGAUGUUCUGGGCUGCACGCGCGCUACACUGAUGCACUCAACGAGUUUACGACCUUGCCCGGUAGGGUUGGGUAAUCUUUUUAAAAUGCAUCGUGAUGGGGAUAGAUUAUUGCAAUUAUUAAUCUUCAACGAGGAAUUCCUAGUAAGCGCGAGUCAUCAGCUCGUGCUGAUUACGUCCCUGCCCUUUGUACACACCGCCCGUCGCUCCUACCGAUUGAGUGCUCAGGUGAAUAAUUCGGACUGCAGCAAUGUUUGGAUCCCGAACGUUGCAGCGGAAAGUUUAGUGAACCUUAUCACUUAGAGGAAGGAGAAGUCGUAACA